rnacentral:rRNA from 1 species
CAAUAGCGUAUAUUAAAGUUGUUGCAGUUAAAAAGCUCGUAGUUGGAUUUGUGGCGUACGACGGGCCCCGGGCACUUGUUGUCUGAGUAGCUUGUCGUUGCCAUCCUUGGGUGGAACCUGUGUGGCAUUAGGUUGUCGUGCAGGGGAUGCCCAUCUUUUACUGUGAAAAAAUUAGAGUGUUCAAAGCAGGCUUAUGCCGUUGAAUAUAUUAGCAUGGAAUAAUAAGAUAGGACUUUGUCGCUAUUUUGUUGGUUUGCGCGAUAAGGUAAUGAUUAAUAGGGACAGUUGGGGGUAUUCGUAUUCCAUUGUCAGAGGUGAAAUUCUUGGAUUUUUGGAAGACGAACUACUGCGAAAGCAUUUACCAAGGAUGUUUUCAUUAA